rnacentral:rRNA from 1 species
UACGGAGGGGGCUAGCGUUGUUCGGAAUUACUGGGCGUAAAGCGCACGUAGGCGGACUGUUAAGUCGGGGGUGAAAUCCUGGAGCUCAACUCCAGAACUGCCUUUGAUACUGAAGAUCUUGAGUUCGGGAGAGGUGAGUGGAACUGCGAGUGUAGAGGUGAAAAUUCGUAGAUAUUCGCAAGAACACCAGUGGCGAAGGCGGCUCACUGGCCCGAUACUGACGCUGAGGCACGAAAGCGUGGGGAGCAAACAGGGA